GUUCCCCUAGUAGCGGCGAGCGAAGCGGGAAGAGCUCAAAUUUAUAAUCUGGCACCUUCGGUGUCCGAGUUGUAAUCUCUAGAAAUGUUUUCCGCGUUGGACCGCACACAAGUCUGUUGGAAUACAGCGGCAUAGUGGUGAGACCCCCGUAUAUGGUGCGGACGCCCAGCGCUUUGUGAUACAUUUUCGAAGAGUCGAGUUGUUUGGGAAUGCAGCUCAAAUUGGGUGGUAAAUUCCAUCUAAAGCUAAAUAUUGGCGAGAGACCGAUAGCGAACAAGUACCGUGAGGGAAAGAUGAAAAGCACUUUGGAAAGAGAGUUAACAGUACGUGAAAUUGUUGGAAGGGAAACGCUUGAAGUCAGACUUGCUUGCCGAGCAAUCGGUUUGCAGGCCAGCAUCAGUUUUCCGGGAUGGAUAAUGGUAGAGAGAAGGUAGCAGUUUCGGCUGUGUUAUAGCUCUCUGCUGGAUACAUCUUGGGGGACUGAGGAACGCAGUGUGCCUUUGGCGGGGGUUUCGACCUCUUCACACUUAGGAUGCUGGUGGAAUGGCUUUAAACGACCCGUCU
rnacentral:rRNA from 1 species